GGAACUGGAACACGGUCCGGACUCCUACGGGAGGCAGCAGUGAGGAAAUUUGCGCAAUGGGGGAAACCCUGACGCAGCAACGCCGCGUGAGUGAUGAAGGCUUUCGGGUCGUAAAGCUCUGUCGGGUGGGAAGAACCCACCAAGUGUUAAGACCACUUGGUGCUGACGGUACCACCGAAGGAAGCACCGGCUAACUCCGUGCCAGCAGCCGCGGUAAUACGGGGGGUGCGAGCGUUAUUCGGAAUCAUUGGGCGUAAAGGGCGCGCAGGCGGUUUUGUAAGUCAGAUGUGAAAUCCCGGGGCUUAACCCCGGAAGUUGCAUAUGAACUAUGAGACUUGAGUAUGGGAGAGGGAAGCGGAAUUUCCUGGUGUAGCGGUGAAAUGCGUAGAUAUCAUGAGGAACACCGGUGGCGAAUGCGGCUUCCUGGUCCGAUACUGACGCUGAGGCGCGAAAGCGUGGGGAGCGAACAGGAUUAGAUACCCUGGUAGUCCACGCUGUAAACGAUGGGUACUAGGUGUUGGUUGUAAUGAUCAGCGCCGGAGCAAACGCAUUAAGUACACCGCCUGGGGAAUACGGUCGCAAGACUGANACUCAAAGGAAUUGACGGGGGCCCGCACAAGCGGUGGAGCAUGUGGUUUAAUUCGAUGCAACGCGAAGAACCUUACCUGGGCUUGAACUGCAGGUGCUAUCUCCUGAAAGGGAGUUUCCUUCGGGACGCCUGUAGAGGUGCUGCAUGGCUGUCGUCAGCUCGUGCUGUGAGGUGUUGGGUUAAGUCCCGCAACGAGCGCAACCCCUGUCCCUAGUUGCCAUCAGGUCAAGCUGGGAACUCUAGGGGGACUGCCCCGGAUAACGGGGAGGAAGGUGGGGAUGACGUCAAGUCAUCAUGGCCCU
rnacentral:rRNA from 1 species